UAGUCCACGCCGUAAACGAUGUUCACUCGCUGUUGGCGAUAUACUGUCAGCGGCCAAGCGAAAGCAUUAAGUGAACCACCUGGGGAGUACGAUCGCAAGGUUGAAACUCAAAGGAAUUGACGGGGGCCCGCACAAGCGGUGGAGCAUGUGGAUUAAUUCGAUGAUACGCGAGGAACCUUACCAGGGCUUAAAUGGUUAUUGACCGUCGCCGAAAGGUGUCUUUCUUUUAGACAAUUACCAAGGUGCUGCAUGGCUGUCGUCAGCUCGUGCCGUGAGGUGUUGGGUUAAGCCCCGCAACGAGCGCAACCCCUAUUCUUAGCUGCCAGCACAUAAUGGUGGGGACUCUAAGAAGACUGCCGGCGCAAGCCGAGAGGAAGGUGGGGACGACGUCAAGUCAUCAUGGCCCUUACGCCUAGGGCUACACACGUGCUACAAUGGUGCAUACAGAGGGUAGCGAUCUGGUAACAGUUAGCCAAUCUCAGAAAGUGCAUCUCAGUUC
rnacentral:rRNA from 1 species